UAGAUGAAUGCUCGCUGGCUAGAGCGCUUAGCUGUUAACUAAGAGUUUGAAGGAUCGAGGCCUUCUCAUCUAU
rnacentral:tRNA from 1 species